UAUAUUAUACUUUAGUUAAAAUAACAAAAUAUUAUAUGUUUGAAGUGGAGCAUCUUGCAAAUAUAUGAAAGGGAAAUGAUUAAUUUGCUAUUUGUAAUACCAUGCAUGCCUACGAGAACAUUCUCUCUCUUCCUUCUUUCUGUAAUCUAUGCACCUGGUGCAUGGAUUAACCUAUGCACCACGUUCAAAAUUUGAACUCAAAUUUUCUCCAUGCACCUAGUGCAUAGAUCAUCUCAUACACCAUUAUUCAAAUUUUCUCUCUUUUCACUUUUUUUUUUCUCUUUUUUUUUUCUUCUUCUUCUUCUUCCUUUUUUUUUUUUUUUGCUUCAACAAUAGGCUGGGGCUGCUAUACUUUUAUGAGUACAGACCUUCUUUUACUCAUAAAUUUUUAACCGUUGAUUGAUGGGGUGUGGUUAGAAUGAUGGUGGUCCCCACUUAAAAUGAUAGUGGUCCCCUAGGGUUGAGUGGGUAGUUGAUUAAAUAGUAUGAUCUAAUGGAUGAAUAUGAUUAAUGGAAUAAAUCUAAAGGCCGAAAACUUAUGAGUAUAAGGGAGCCAGUACUCUAAAGGCCGAAAACUUAUGAGUAUAGCAUUCUAGCUCAACUACAUAUAUAUAUAUAUAUAUAUAUAGAGAGAGAGAGAGAGAGAGAGAGAGAGAGAGAGAGAGAGAGAGAGAGUGUGUGUCCGGCUACUAUAUUAAUUAUUGAUAGUACUAAAUGCUUGGUANGAAGGUAGUCUACCUCAUAUAUAUAUAUAUAGACCAGGGCUGCUGUGCUCUCAGGAGCACAGAGGCCUCCGUGCUCCUGAGCCGUUUUCGAUGAUGGAGUUUCCGAAUUGACAAUCGGCUCCGUUAAACUUGAUCUAGCGUAUUUGAAGUUUCUAGAAAAUAAUUUUGCGAUUUUUCAAUAUCAUUUACCUAGCAAUCGAAAGGAUUCAAAAUCAAUAAUUUUAACGAUUGAAAAUAAAAAUCCUAUAAAAAGUGGUGAUAUAACACUAAAAUUUUCAAUCAGAAAUAUUGAUCUUGUUGUAGAUAGCAUAAAGAAUUUUGUAUCAAAAUUUCAUCUGAUUUGAAUAUUUCUACACUGUUAAACUUGAAAAUGGCAGAUAUCAACUAUUAAAAAUUAUUGAUUUUGAAUCUUUUUGAUCACUAGGUAAAUGAUAUCGAAAAAUCGCAAAAGUUAUUUUCUAGAAACUUCAAAUGCGCUAGAUCAAGUCUAACGGAGCUGAUCGUCGAUUCGGAAACUCCAUCAUCGAAAACGGCUCAGGAGCACGGAGGCCUCUGUGCUCCUGAGAGCACAGCAGCCCUGGUCUAUAUAUAUAUAUAUGAGGUAGACUACCUUCAGGACCCGUUUGGUUCGAGUUAUGUAAUAUUACAAAGUAUCUCGACAUAUCCAGGUAUCUUGGAUUUCGGCGUGAAAUUACUACUGAUGCUGCAUUAGCGCGUUUGGUUUAAUGCAGUAAUGUAAUACUAGAUUACAGUGUUUAUAGCAUUAAUAUAUUUGGUUCAGUUUAUAAAAUUUAGUAAUCCUGACAUAAAAGUAUAGUUUUUUUCAAAAUUGCCCUUGUUGUGGUCAUUUGAAUAUUAUUUUUUACGGAAAUGACGAAUGGAGGGAAGGAGAUCGUGAUGAUUACCUGGGAGGACGACACAAUAGAAGAUGAUAGGUAUUCGUGCGAGAGAGAGAGAGAGAGAGAAAGAGAGAGAGAGAGAGAAAGCGGCGUGCGAGAGAGAGGGGGGAAGGUGAGAGAGAGAUGAAAAUAAUGCUAUUAAUUAGAUUUGGGGUUGUUGGAGGCUAAAAUUGUCAAUUUACAUAAUAUAUAGUAUUAACGGGUUUCAGUAAUGUAAGAUACACGACCCCCCUCCCGUUAAUAUUUUUGAUGUAAUCCUGCUUGAUUUGUAAUGCUACAUUAACGACUAGAUUACAUAGCGGAUUAACCAAACACAGUUAUCCUGGCAGGAUUGCUUGUAAUCCUGCCAGGAUAACUCGAACCAAACGCACCCUAAGGGGUUGGUGCUUUUAAAUUUAUAGCCUUUGGACGGAGGUGUUGUAGGUCUAGGAUGAUAGUAGCCCACUUCGGUUUAAUGGUGAUAGGUGGAAUAGUAUUUGAUUUAAAGGCUACUAGUAAGUUAAGGGGUAGAUCUAGGGUUAGAAACCUAGAAGCACCAAUGCGUUGGUGCUUUUAGAUGUAUUUUAGCUCAACUCUCUCUCUCUCUCUCUCUCUCUCUCUCUCUCUCUCUCUCUCUAUAUAUAUAUAUAUAUAUAUAUAUAUAGAGUUCGGUUCGGCUAUGGUGCUUCAAGCACUUGGUGCUUGUAAGUUUUCUGCCUUAAAUCUACUCUGCUCAUUUCCAUCUGUUAGAUUAUACUAUUCAACCAACUAUCUAUUCAACAAUUCUAACUGCACAUUCCUUAAUCCAAAGGCUGAAACCUAUAAGCACCAAUGACUUGGUACUUUUUAAAGC
rnacentral:lncRNA from 1 species